rnacentral:rRNA from 1 species
CCUACGGGUGGCAGCAGUGGGGAAUAUUGGACAAUGGGCGAAAGCCUGAUCCAGCCAUGCCGCGUGUGUGAAGAAGGCCUUCGGGUUGUAAAGCACUUUCAGUGGGGAAGAAAGCCUUGGGGCUAAUACCCUCGAGGAAGGACAUCACCCACAGAAGAAGCACCGGCUAACUCCGUGCCAGCAGCCGCGGUAAUACGGAGGGUGCGAGCGUUAAUCGGAAUUACUGGGCGUAAAGCGCGCGUAGGCGGUCUGAUAAGCCGGUUGUGAAAGCCCCGGGCUCAACCUGGGAACGGCAUCCGGAACUGUCAGGCUAGAGUGCAGGAGAGGAAGGUAGAAUUCCCGGUGUAGCGGUGAAAUGCGUAGAGAUCGGGAGGAAUACCAGUGGCGAAGGCGGCCUUCUGGACUGACACUGACGCUGAGGUGCGAAAGCGUGGGUAGCAAACAGGAUUAGAUACUCUUGUAGUC